GGCUAGCUCAGUUGCUAGAGUAUGGGACUCUUAAUCCCAAGGUUGUGGGUUCAAGUCCCACAGUGGCUG
rnacentral:tRNA from 1 species